UGACAGUUGGCUGGUAGACGUAUCAGUUGUCUAUUUGUGUUCAUCUGCUCUAAUGUAGAUUUGGAAAGAAUUGACAAUUCGACAACAUGGGUUGGUUUAAGUGACGGCCGGUGAGGCAGUUACGGUCUUUUGUUCCACACCGAUUCGUACCCUUCCCGUCUCGUUGGCUCCAAGUGGUCCCUACGGAUUGAUUUAAGUCUUAUUUCGUUUAUUAGCGGGAAUGAUGCCACGACGAAUAUUAAAGACUAGUUGAAAGAAGAAAAAAACUGUUGCUAUCAAGAAAUUCUUCAGAAGUUCAAUAUCCAAUACUUUUCCUUUUCCUCCACCCCAUCGGGGGCGGCGCCCCUGAUCGGGUGGAGGAGCUCCUUAGGGCUAACGUAGUAGGCGUGUUGGCCUACUAUGCGAAUCCUUGGAGUUUUUAGUUAUUAUUUUUUUUUUUGUUGCAGAUGACAGUGAGUUUUAACUUCAUACUAUUACCAUUAAUUUUUUUAACUGAUAAUCUGGUAAUAUCAGUAGAUAAGCGUCGCACUUUGUUUUGUACAUAUGCAAUGGUUUGUAUAAAUCUGAUCUAUGAGUACCUUUAAGUUAACUCGCAUUAUGUUUUUAUGGUUAUUUAAGUUAUUAGCUUUAUCCACUCUGGUUUUAGUUAACUCUCACCCUAAUACUGUGAUUUCAAAAGCUAUUUUUUGGAAUAUUAUUAGUUUGGUCAGUUUUUCAUAUGUAAGUUAGUUUUGAGUUUAGGUCAGUUUGAUCUUUAUAGAGAAAAUGUAGAAUGAUUACUUCUGGAUUAGUGUUCCUGGUUUUACAGAGCACCCAUUUCAUUUUGAGUUUUGGAUCAUGAAAUAUAUUAAAAGCUUAAAAUACAUGAUUAUAACUUUUUAGAUAUUUUUGUAGAUGUUCGCAUUUUGAAGGAGAUUUGAUCUCUUAUGCUUUUUGUGAUCCGAAAAGAUUUUUAGUUUUGGAUCAUGAAAUCUAUUAAAAUCUUAAAAUCCAUGGUUAUACUUUUUAGAUGUUUUUGUAUAUGUUCGCAUUUUGAAGGAGAUUUGAUCUUUUAUGCUUUUUGUAAUUCGAAAAGAUUUUGCAACAAAGAAUAAUUAUGUAAUGGGAAGCAGUGUACGUUAACUUUUCCGUCCUUUUCUACUUUGUAUUAAGGUUUGCUUUUAAUUUGGUUUCAUCCAAAGUUUUUGCUGUUGCUGCUUUUCAUGACUUACAGGUGACCUUGCUCUGAGAGGUUUAGAAUGGCGGACUUAAGGAUUUGGAGUAAUAGUGUAAACGUUUAGUUCGUGAAAUUCUCCUCGUUCCAUCUGUUACAAAAGUGAGGCUUUCCUAAUUUUAGUUUUGAAGUGGGAUAAAAACAAGUUUUCAGAAUAACUCACUCUGUAACCGUAGAUUCAUGAUUAAGAAAGAUUCCAGUGUAUGCACUAUCCUGUCAUUACCAGUGUUUUUAACCACAUAAAAUUGACCCUGAUGAUUGUCGGAAAGAGGGUACUUAAGGUGUUACGUGUUUAUAUUUUCAAGAUUCAAUGGUAUAAGAUUUUUACAGGUCUGUCUUGGUAGUUCACAUUUAAAUUAAUACUGCAUAUCAAAUUGUUAACGAAUAUAAAGGAAAUUCAAUGUGACUAUUUUGAAAUUUCACCCUGUAGCGUCCAAUGUUCUGAGGGCUGGGUGGUUAAAAAGUCUGGUUUUAUACAGUUUUCCCACCUAGGGUAAAAAUAUUUAGUACGGCUAAAGUCAUUGCAGUUGAGCGUUUGUGUGAAACUGGCAAGAUAUGCGUUGGUAAAAAAAUAAAAUAAAAUAAAAUGGUAAUGGUAGCCUGGGUAG